GUCAUUUUAGGAGGAUGUGAGAUCUAUGAUCCUGCAACCAGCACCAGCAAAGGCAGAGUAGUAGGCAGUCUCUUUGCCGACAUGCAGCCAGUGGGUGGUGAUGCAGCACCCCCACACCCCAUAGAGGCAGAUUAAGAGGUGGUCUUCUCCUGGAUAGUUUGUCAGUAGAUACCGAGAGGAGGUACCCCAUUCACAGAGGCUGCUGAAUAAAAGUGCAUCAUCUGUUUAGUCUCCAGUAACCAGUUCAGAGCCAGACAUAAGCGCCUGGAGAGAGAUUGUGAGGCAGUAGGGUAAUGGACCAAGGAAGCCAACCCAUGAAACGUCGUCAUGACUACUUGCCUGGCAACCGAGACGGCAGGACCACGUCACAGGAUGUGCGCCGGGAUGCCAGACAGGAAGCCGGAGCAGCGUGGCCAGCGGCGUUUGCAACGGGACAGCGCGAGAAAGGGGGGCAAACACAGGAAAGGUUUCCAGUUACCUCUAAAGACCCCGGGCCAGCAUCUCAAGUCAUAAUCACAACAUACAGUACAGUAUAAUGGACAGGACAUGCCUAGUGGCAACAGCUUUGUCUACCAAGUCUGCAGUGUCUGUUAAUCUGAGUGCUUAAUCAGUGCACCGGACCAGAGGGCAACUGCCAGCAAGAAGAGACAGAUGUCUUAACUGAGGUGGGAGGUUGUGUAGUUAGAAAGCUCAGCUCUGCCUCCUACUUGCUAGAGUUUGCAGGAUGUCCUUUCCCUGACCACUUAUAUUAUUUAUGAGAUAAAUAUGUUUGAUACAGAAAA